rnacentral:misc_RNA from 1 species
GGUCGUGCGUUCCCUGUUUCCUUUACGCGCGCGUUCCCUUCCCGAUUUUCGCGUGUACGCGAUCGAUCGAUCCGCGGUUGCCUGUUAUUUCACCGGGAAUAACCGUUCUCGAAGAGGCAAUUUAUCGUCCUAUAUAUCCUCGAUGCAGAUAUAAAAGCAACCACGAUACCGUAAAAUAUAAUUAAUACACCAUUCAUCAGAACCAAGAGGUUAACGUUUCGCGAGUGAUCAACGAUUCUACGCGAGUUUCUGUGAAAAAUCGUUUGGUCACGGAUCGAAAAGAACUGUGCUAAGCCUCGAUGCAGAUGAGCGGCGCAGUUGCGAUUUCGCUCAGGCGACGAUGUGUAAUUCGAUGGAGAGCCAAGAUGAUUUAUGAAAGAAACAAAUUGCAGUUUCACGGAAGUAAAACCUUAUCAGAAAAAAAAAGACAAAGAUGAGAAAUGCAAAGAUGUUUAGCGAGAUAACAACCAG